rnacentral:rRNA from 1 species
AUUGAACGCUGGCGGCAGGCCUAAUACAUGCAAGUCGAACGAGUGGCGGACGGGAGAGUAAUGUCUGGGAAACUGCCCGAUGGAGGGGGAUAACUACUGGAAACGGUAGCUAAUACCGCAUACCAUCGGAUGUGCCCAGAUGGGAGUAGCUAGUAGGUGGGGUAAUGGCUAACCUAGGCGAGGAUCCCUAGCUGGUCUGAGAGGAUGACCGGCCACACUGGAACUGAGACAGGGCCCAGACUCCUACGGGAGGCAGAAGUGGGGAAUAUUGGACAAGGGGCGCAAGCCUGCUGCAGCCAUGCCGCGUGUAUGAAGAAGGCCUUCGGGUUGUAAAGUACUUUCAGCGGGGAGGCGGUACCCGCAGAAGAAGCACCGGCUAACUCCGUGCCAGCAGCCGCGGUAAUAC